ensembl:lncRNA
CCACAAGCCAUUAAGACACCUGUUGAGAUUUUUUUUUAAUAAUUUUACUAGUAUAAUGCCAGCUUCAAUAUCAUCUUCCCACACAUACUGUGGAUACUAUUACUGUAUCUUUAAGAGGGAAUAGAAUCUUGGGAGAAAGAUAGCUUAAUUGUUAUCUUGAGAAUUAACUGUCAUGACUAGAAAGAAACUGAGAGUUAGAAAGAGAAAGAACUAAAACAACUUCUUUCCUGAGAGACUGACAGAAGGGAGUUAACUGUCAUUUUCGAGAAAGACUUGAAGCAGCAUUUCCUGAGAACUGAAUAUGCUGUGGAGAAGCCAUACUAACUAGAAUUCUUGGGAGAUUUUUGACUGCCAUUCUGAGAGAAUAAAACGGUGGUGGGACUAUAUUUCCAACAGUUGAGGAGAAUUCACUUCUCUCUUUAAAAGAAAAUGAGUGGGGACCAUGCAAGAUACCAGCCUCCUUUUGACUAUGGGCUACUGCUGGAGGAAGAAGCCCCGCUAUCCCGGAAGAGCUCAAGGAGGGGAUGGAUACUUGAAGACUUGGAGCAAGAGCUCACAGAACUAGGCAUUCCCUUAGGUAACCCACCAGGACUGGAUCCAAGUGGGCAAAGACGUGAUGUCGACUCUUUUCUACCACCUAUUUUUGCUCCCUGUUUUUGUGGAUGUGUCCUGAGAUCAAAGUCUGUGCUGAACUCCCGCCCCUCUUCAGCCACUUCCCGAGCCACCACCCCCGAAUCAGGACCUACCAUGGUCCAACCACCAACUAGGUUUGCAACUCCAUCGGGUUUUCACACAACAACCCAGACUGGAUCUCCAGCUCCUCCUUCUGGGAGGAGAUCUCAAGCUCCGAGAAACCCUCCACCCAUACGACAAUUAGUCCCACUGCCUGUUUGGCCCCAACCCUUUCAUUUUACCAUCCCUAAGACCAAUCCUCCAAGGGUUCACAACCCUCCUAUUGAAUGUCUAGGUUCCAGCUUUCCGAGGUGGAGAAAGAAAAAACAGUCCUCUUUGCCUUCUCCUUCUCCUAUCUUCAAUCCCCUUAAAAUAAAGUGUAGUAUUUGAUGCAACAAUGUUGUCUUUCUUUUGUGACUGAGAAGAGCAUAAUUGAAUUCAUCAUGUAUAGAAAUGAUUUAAAAAAAUAACACUUUAUGUGCGUCUAAUACUUGGUGAUUAUUAUAUUAUUUGAUCAUCAUAGGUGGUUCAAUAGAAUAAGCAUUUCAUCCAAGUAUUACAUGUGGCUUGCAUUUAAGGUUAUUUGCAAAUGAAAACAUUGAGAGAUGUUGUGACUUUGGCAAGGUCACAUAGUUGAGAAUCCCAGAAUUUCAAAUUGGGUGAUAAUUAAAAGUUUUAAAUUAUCAAGUCCUCUUAUUUUACAGAUGUGGAAACUAAGAAAAUAUUCUGCUUCCCAUUUAGAUGAGGAAAAGAUUAGACUGAAGAAGGAGCAGGAAAAGACUUUGAGCUGAAGAAAAGGAAAUUGUGAAGAAAGUAAAGGUUUGAGAAUUGCAAAGAAAGCCAGAGUUUGAAUUUGGAGAGGAUAAACUAUGGCAGGACUUGAGGAAAAAUUGAAGCAAGGGUUGGGAGGAUUCUUCAAAGUUGAAAAAGUAGGAUCUAGCACUGAAGGACCAUAGAUAAAGGAUCCUAAAUUGAUAGCUCAAAAAGAGUGAAGUGGUAGUCUAGCCCCCAGCUUCUUAAAUUAUGGGUGGCAACCCCAUAUGGGAUUCUGCACCUGAAUGUGAGAGUCCCAAAAUUAUUUAUUAGAAAAUGUUUGAUUUGUACACCUAUUUUAUAUAACAAAUCAGGGAAAAGCAAAAAAUUUCUCAGGUGAAAAGGAAUGAUGAGUGUUACAAAUUUAAGAAACCCUGGUCUAGCCCAUCUUUCAUUUUUCAGAGAAAAAGACUUCAAAGAGAAAAACUCAGAGGAAAAGGAAGAAAAAGGCAGAGCUGAAAAAGGAAAAAAAGAGAAAGGGAGUUGGUAAGGUAAAUAAAAUAUAGAUGGGGCUACCAUGAGUGAUAAGUAACAGAGGAACCUCAAUCUUAGCCCUCCAACUAGAAUUUGCAGUGAUUUGAAUGCAAAUUUCAUAUUUCUGUCAAAAUCAAGUAAUUGAUCUUUGUACAAAGUAUAAACUGGUCUUCUUCCUAGAAAAGAAGUUAAAGAAAAGGGUUAGGGAUUCUCAGAUUAUCAGAAAGAAAAAAGAA